AUUAGAACUUGGAGGAAAGCUCCGGAUCCCCAGCUCUGAUACAUCAGCCAGCAGACGCCUGUGCCAACCAGCACCACAAUGGGAGAGAGUGCCUUCUACCCAGAUAGAGCAUGGCCAAUUGUGCUCUCUCGGACUCCGGGUGCUGCUGAAAAAGCAGCAUCCUUAAUUUCCUUUGGGAUCAAUAAAUAAAAGAACUCACUCCAACUCCCAUAAUUCACAUCUUUUUAACUCACGUUGGUGUCACAUUGGUCCCAUCACUUCUGGCAUAUCUACAUCCUGUUCAGAACUCAAGAAGCACCGCGACUGACCUGAUCGAACGUCUAUGAGCAGAGAAAAUACCGUUUUUUGGCCAAAUUAUCGCUUUAAAAUCAUAAUCACGUAGUGUGCAAGGCUAAAGGUGUGCUUUCUAUGUUUUUUUUCUGAGAGAGAGAGAGAGAGAAAAAGAGAGAGAGAGAGAGUACCCGGUCUCAGAGCAGCUGCAGACGGACAUGCUGAGAGUGACUCUUGGAGAAAAGGCCGCCUCUCCAGGGAAUCGCCGCCGGGCCUGAACCCCACCGAGUCCAGAACCCCUCACCACUCUGUCCUGCUCAGCAUCCUACAGCAACCAGAAACACACACACACACACACACACACACACAGAUAAACAGCCUUGGACUGCUGAAUAAAAGCUGAGAAAUAAAGCAACAGCUUUAAAAUUUUAUUGAUCCUCCUUAAGCCACCCAAAAGGUUCUGACCCGUUGAGGCCUGGACUCCACAAGAGCUCUGAAGGUGUUCAGUGACAAAACUAACAUUAAAAAGCAGAUCCUUGGGCACCGAGUGGUUCAGCAGUCUAAAGCACUUCCACUAUAAGCGGGAAGUCGCAGGUUCGAACCCCCACUCAUGCAGCUUUUUUUGUGUCUGCAUGCUGCUGUGCUUUCCUCCGAGCACGCUGUGAUGCUACAUCAGCAGCAGUUCAAAAGAGGCGGAGUCUGACUCCACAUGUGUCGGAGGAGGCAUGUGCUGGUCUUCACCCUUCUGGUGUGUUGGGGCAUCACUAGUGAUAGGGGGAGUUUUAAUAAGUGGGUUGGGUAAUUGGCUGAGCAAAAUUAUAGAGAAAAUGACGAAAAAAUAGAAAUAAAAAUUAAAAAGCGGACCCUUUAGGUCCUGUUAUCAAGUGGGUGGAGAUUACUGAGACUUUCGCGCCAAGUUGCCCAGGUAAGGACUUCAGCAACUUUAUUCAGGUGAGGACACUUUACGGAUCUAUUUGAGUUAAAAACUGUUUAGAUUAAACAUGAAUUCAUACUGGAUGAACAAUGAACUAACUAGAUGGCUGAGGUGUUGCUAGGUGAUUUUUAGUUGCUUUCUAAAGCAUUACAGGUGGUUUCUGUGGUGUUCUUAUGUAGUUGAUAUGGUAUUACUCAAAACAUUAAGGGAGGUCAUGUGGUCAUGUUGUCGGUCAUAAUGAAUGGAUUUAAUGAUCCUGCUAUUUUUAUAUUCUACAUUAUAGGAAAGUCCUUAAACAUUACCCCACCCCCACUGUUCUGAACAGUCCAAACUGUUCUGAAACUCCGUCCUCACCGCCAAACACGAGCCCAGCAGGCCGACUGCACACCAGACCUAUAGAUUUCACGAGCCACUUCAUCCACACAGUGCAAUUAUGAGCGACGUCUGGGCUAGAGAGACGAGACAGAGAGAAAAGAGAGAUAGACCAGAGAGAGUAAGAGAGAGAUAGACCAGAGAGAAAGAGAGUGAGAGAAAGAUAGACUACAGAGAAAGAGUGAGGGAGAGAUAGACCAGAGAGAAAGAGAUUGAGAGAUAGGCCAGAGAGAAAGAGAGUGAGAGAGAGGUAGACCAGAGAGAGAGAGAGAGAGAGUGAGAGAGAGAUAUACCAGAGAGAAAGGGUGAGAGAAAGAUAGACCAGAGAGAAAGAGAGUGAGAGAGAGGUAGACCAGAGA